UGGGGAAUUUUGGACAAUGGGGGAAACCCUGAUCCAGCCAUCCCGCGUGUGCGAUGAAGGCCUUCGGGUUGUAAAGCACUUUUGGCAGGAAAGAAACGUCAUGGGUUAAUACCCCGUGAAACUGACGGUACCUGCAGAAUAAGCACCGGCUAACUACGUGCCAGCAGCCGCGGUAAUACGUAGGGUGCAAGCGUUAAUCGGAAUUACUGGGCGUAAAGCGUGCGCAGGCGGUUCGGAAAGAAAGAUGUGAAAUCCCAGAGCUCAACUUUGGAACUGCAUUUUUAACUGCCGGGCUAGAGUGUGUCAGAGAGAGGUGGAAUUCCGCGUGUAGCAGUGAAAUGCGUAGAUAUGCGGAGGAACACCGAUGGCGAGGGCAGCCUCCUGGGAUAACACUGACGCUCAUGCACGAAAGCGUGGGGAGCAAACAGG
rnacentral:rRNA from 1 species